rnacentral:rRNA from 1 species
UGGGGAUGCUACCUGCAGUCGAACGGUAACAGGAAGCAGCUUGCUGCUUUGCUGACGAGUGGCGGACGGGUGAGUAAUGUCUGGGAAACUGCCCGAUGGAGGGGGAUAACUACUGGAAACGGUAGCUAAUACCGCAUAACGUCGCAAGACCAAAGAGGGGGACCUUCGGGCCUCUUGCCAUCGGAUGUGCCCAGAUGGGAUUAGCUAGUAGGUGGGGUAACGGCUCACCUAGGCGACGAUCCCUAGCUGGUCUGAGAGGAUGACCAGCCACACUGGAACUGAGACACGGUCCAGACUCCUACGGGAGGCAGCAGUGGGGAAUAUUGCACAAUGGGCGCAAGCCUGAUGCAGCCAUGCCGCGUGUAUGAAGAAGGCCUUCGGGUUGUAAAGUACUUUCAGCGGGGAGGAAGGGAGUAAAGUUAAUACCUUUGCUCAUUGACGUUACCCGCAGAAGAAGCACCGGCUAACUCCGUGCCAGCAGCCGCGGUAAUACGGAGGGUGCAAGCGUUAAUCGGAAUUACUGGGCGUAAAGCGCACGCAGGCGGUUUGUUAAGUCAGAUGUGAAAUCCCCGGGCUCAACCUGGGAACUGCAUCUGAUAC